UUCACAAUGGCCUUCCUGUCUGGGAAAGUUCAUCAGGUAGCCAUCAGAGGCACUGGGCCUGAUCUAAUGGGCUCAGCUAGAACACACAGGAGACUUGAAAGGGCUCUGGUCUGGCUCCUUGUGCCAACCCUUUGUCUGCCCUUCCUCUCCCUUCCUCUCCCUCUCCCACCGCCCACCUCCUCCCCCUCUUUCCCUUCCUUCUCCCCUCCUUCUCUUAGAAGAGAGGAAGCUCAGUCUUUUGGUCCAGUGGCUCUGGGCAGGGCAUGGGCACGAGCAUGAGGUAAAAGAUGGAAAGACCAGAUCCAAGCCCUGACACUACUGCUGCCACGCAAGGCCCUUAGUGGGCAGGGGAUGAGUUCUUCAGUGGGGGUAUUAUCUUUCUAGUUCUCAGAGGGCCAGGUCUGAGAGAGGAUCACAGGGGCUGGAACAGACCUUAGAGGUGAGUCUCCAACUCCCUCAUUUGACAGAGGAGGAAACUGAGGCUCGGAGAGGCUGAUUGAUUUGCCUUGGGUUUGAACGCGGUCUCUCAGGCUUCCUGGCUAGGUGACCAUGGGCAAAUGGCUCUACCUCACUGAUUUUCAGUUUAUUCACCUGAAGAAAGCAGGGAUUGGGGGAAUAACAUCAUAAAGAGAAACAGAAGCGCUUUGAUCAGUGCAAUGACCAACCCCGGCUCCAGGAGGUAGAUGAUGAAAGCCCUUCUCACCUCCUGAUCCAAAGGCGGUGGACUUGGCACUGAAUGAGGUAUACAUUUUUGGAUAUGUCCAAUCCAGUGAAGGAAUUCAUUUUGCUUGACUAUGUAUCUUUGUUCCAAGGGUUUUCCUUUUCUUUUCUAAUGAGAGAGAUGCUUGUCAGAAAAUGUAAUUUCAAAAAGGAAGAGGGAGUUGGAACUGAUGACCUCGAAGGCCUCUUCCAGUUCCCAAUCCAGUGAAUCCAACCUGGGCCAGCUGCUUUAGCUCUGAGCCUCAGUGACCGCCUAUGUCGAAUGGGGAAUGAUGAUUCUAACACUUAGCUAGGGUAGGUUGCUGUGGGUGGUCAAGUGACAUCAUUCAUGCCAUGAUGGAUCCUACUCAUGAUAGCCCCUGGCAUUAUCCCCAUCGCCAUGCCUCUUCCUUCCUGGUUCCCAUGGGGCUAGGGCCCAGGCCCUACUCCUUCCUACCCAAGCAGUUGUCAGCAGGAACUCGGGCUUUCAGCAACUGAUCAGCUCAGACUACCAGGGGACUGUGACAUAGAGCCUGCCUCUCUCUGCUUCCUAGUACUGAUCCGCCAAAUCCAGGAGGUCACAAGAGGAUUCUCCUCUGUCCUCACAGACGACCAUCGAUUUUGAGUCGGAGAGGGUCUUCGAGGCCAGGCCGUUUAUUCCAAUGGACUCCUUGGAGGGUGAGAGACCUGAGGCCCAGAGAAAAGCAACUGGCUUAAGAUUCCACGAUAUUCUACAGAGGAGGGUCCAUAGAGGAGUCCAGGAUGGUGCGAUAAGAGCUAAGAAUCCUAGCCGUACAUUGAGUCACGCAUGGGGCCUGUCGUGAGUGUACCCUGCUUGUGCUGCCACUAGGAGUUCUCCCUCUGCAUCCCAUCCCCACUCAGGCACCUUGGUGACCCCAAAGACUCUAGUGGGGAAUGGCACACCAACCUGCAAGCCUGGUAUUUCCUGCUUUCUCCCUGUAGCAGGGCUUCCAGUCAGCUUGCCCAGACUUAGUUCCAGGAAUGUUGCAGGCUAGAGAGCUGGGAGGGGCACCAAAGUGGAAACUUGUGGGGGGAAUGGGCUCUCUUACAUGGGUUUGCAGGGAGGGGGCCCAAGCUUUCUUUCCAAUAAUACAGAAGUCAUCCUUCCUGCUGUGGAGGCUGGCCAGGUGGCAAUCUUCUUCCUUUGGAAGAUGCUCCAGCCUUAUGGCCCUACCCAUGAGGGAUGCUUCUCAUUCCUUCCCCUUGUACCACAGGGUGUUUUCAAUCUGACACUGGAUCUCCAUGUGCUCCCAUGUCACAUUCCUGGGGAGUUCUCGAUGCAUCAUCCUGAAAGAAUCCCCUUAUGGCUACAAUAGACCACUCUUGGAGAGGUGAUUUGCAUUCUGGGGCAGUUGACUGAACUUUGGCCACAGGUCAAAAAAGCCUUUGGACAGAGUGAUUCUCAGCAGCCUUUCAGAACUGCCUCGAGCCGGCUCCCUCCCAUGCCAAUCUCUCCUCCUGUUGGUCAGACUUGUUCCUUUUUAUAGCUCUCCAUCAUUCUAGGCUAAGAGCAGAGACGGCUACCUCUGCCUGCAGAUGAUGAGCUUGAGACGUUCUCCCAUAAACCCAGCUUCUCCUGGAGACUCCGCACAGAGGUCAGAGAGCAGGGGAGGCAGGAGAGAUGAUUUCUGGAGGCCCCAGUUUGAUGUCUUUUAAAUCUGUGCUGAAAAGAUGCCUUUGCUAUAACUGCUGGGAUGUGGCCAAAUUCAGUCCUGGAGAAAGUAUUCAUUUCUUUCAAAGUCGCUCGUUUCCUUGGACUGUGGGCACCUGGCAGGAGGGGCUCAAGAGGGUUUGCCAGAAAAAAAUGAUCUCUGUCACAGCACAGAAGAAUAAUUAGCAAAUGCCCGAAACCCAGGGGAAUGCACAAAAGACUCCAAAGCCAUCAGGACGUCUUUGUUCCCAUCAAGAGGGAAGGAAGAGAUGCUUUCAAAAAGUGAGCACAUUUUAAGGAAGGCGCGCUUAUGGUAGAAUUGUCUGUGCUUGUGGAUGUUUACAUUUUCCCUGGAUGUUUACUAUGUUAGAAAAAAUGUUCCAAAGAAAUCAAAUAAUAAUUGAGUGCAGUAAGUGUUUCCUAAGUCCUUGUUAUAUGCCAGGCUAAGUACAGAGGAUACAAAGAUGGAAAAUAAACAGGCUCUGGCCUUUAAGAAACUUACAUUGUGGGGGCAGCUGGGUGGCUCAGUGGAUUGAGAGCCAGGCCUAGAGACGGGAGGUCCUGGAUUCAAAUCUGACCUUAGGCACUUCCUAGCUGUGUGACCCUGGGCAAGUCAUUUCACCCCAUUGCCUAGCCCUUACUCCUCUUCUGCCUUGGAACCAAUACAUAGGAUUGAUUUCAAGACAAUGUAAGGAUUUAAAAAAACAAAAGAAAAAGAACUUACAUUGUGUCCAGGAAAACAACAUAUACACAGAAAUAAAUAUAAAACAUGUAUAAAGUAAUUUGGGUGGGGAAAUACUACCAAGUGAGGGGAUCGGGAAAGGUUUUGUGUACAAGACAGACUUGAUCUGCCUCUAGAGAGGAGCUAGGGGUUCCAAAAGACCAAAGUGAGCAAGAAGAACAUUCCGGGCAUAGGAGAUGGCCUGUGAAAAGGCAUGGAGUCUGGAGAGAUCACAAUGUAUGGAAAACAGCCGGCAGGCCCAUUUUAGGUAAGAUGUUAAGUGUGUGAAGGAGGAGAAUAUGGGCUGGAUCAGGAAACAUAGGCUCGAGUCAGACUGUGAAAGGCUUUAAAGGCCAAACAGAGUGGUUUGCAUUUUAUUCUUGAGACAAUGGGGUGCCAAGGAUGCUUCUGGAACACUGAUGUGGUUUGAUCAAAGUUGGGCUUUGGGAUAUCCUUUCUGCAGCUGUGCCCAAGACGGAUUCCAGAGGGGAGACACUGGAAGCAUGGAGACCACCUAGGAGGCCAUCUAGACCAGACAAGGUGAUGAGGACCUGUCCUGGGGUGGGUGUGAUGUCGGGAGAAAUGGAGACUGAGAGGAGCUAGAAUCAAUCCAGUUUUCUUCUUAAAUAUGGGGUGCAGUUGGUGAAAGUGAAGAAGCCAAGAUGACUCCUACGUUGUCACCUGGAUGUCAGGAAAGACAAAAACAGGAAAGUGAGGUGGAGGGGGUACGUUUUUAUUUGGGGGGGGAAGAUGAGUUUGGUUCUGGAUAUGCCAUUUUUCAAAAACCCUCACCUUCCAUCUUAGAAUCAAUAUUGUGUGGUAAGGGCUAGGCAAUGGGGAUCAAGGGACUUGCCCAGAGUCACAUAGCUGGGAAGUGUCUGAGGCCACAUUUGAACCCAGGACCUCCCAUCUUUAGGCCUGGCUCUCAAUUCACUGAGCCACCCAGCUGCCCCUUUGGAUAUGUCAUUUUGGAGGGGCCUCCAAGUACAGAUGUCCAGACACCUAGCAAGUGGUUAGCCACUGCUGCAGGACCAAAACUCUGUACCAAUUUACAGUAUUUUACAAUGGUUGCCAAGCCUGUUGUCAGAAUGAGAAUGCAGUGGCUCUUGCUAAGCCCUUCUGCUUUCAUUAAAGGCAUUUGGGCUCUUUGCAAAUGUCAUUGUAUUUGUAUUGCUACAAAGCAAAGCAAAGGUCUCCAAGUGGGCACAGUGUGAAAAUGGACUCAUUAGCAAGUCUGAAAUUGGGAAUUUUUCUUUAAAGGAAAAAUGACUGUGUUCCUUCUCUGGACCGCUCACCUUCCUACAGGACCUUUGGGUUUGCAAAGUGCUUUCCUUAUUUGCCAGGCAAAAUCCUGCCAGGAUUGUCCACAGUUUACAAAUGAGGAACUGACUCAGAGAGUUUAUGUGAUCUGUCUAGGCCAGUGUUGGUGAAGUAUUGGCUUGUGUGCCAGGCCAGCACAGGGAGCUGCUCUGUUCCCCCUCUCCCCAACACCUGAGGACAUUUUUGUAUGCCUGCCCCUCUGUCCAGGAACUCAAAGCAAGUACUUCCUCCACUCUCUAAGGUAAUUCUGAGGGUGGGGGGCGAAGAGGGGGGGCUUAUAGGCAGCUUCAAGUUGUAGUUUUGGCAUGCAGACUUGAAAAUGUUCACCAACACUGGUCUGGGCUCACAUAGGUAGGAAGUGUCAGAGAUGGGAUUUAAACCCCACUUGUCAGAUUCCAAGUUGAAUGCUCUUUUAACUUUACUUCAGAGUAGCUAAAAGCUUUCGAUUCAUUACAUGUAAGUCUACCUGGUGACUAAUAAAGUCUUUCCCUGAAGAGGUCCUGAAGGGACUUGCUUUGAUGGGUAAGAAUAAUUCGUGAGAAGUACUUCAGUCUGUAUAUAAAUGAUCUGCAAGUAGUCAAAGGGAUGGUUCUCCUAUGCAAUUUAAACAUUUCCCCUGUAAUCCUACAGUAGUGUGCAGCAUCUCUGAAGAAAGGUUUUGUUCUACAAAGGUAAACUUCAGCCUAGUCCCUGGAGGAUUUUCAAUGAAUUUCAAAUGAGUGGGAUGUCAGUGAAUGAGCUUUUAUUGUAUUCUGGGGAAAGUUGCCUGAAUGUUCAGCCUCCUAGAAAUCUUUUUUUUUUUAAUCCUUAUUUCUGUCUUAGAAUGAAUAUUGUGUAUUGGUUCUAAGGCAGGAGAGUGGUCAGGGCUGGGCCAUGAGGGAUAAGUGACUUGCCCAGGGUCACACAGCUAGGAAGCGUCUGAGGUCACAUUUGAACCCAGGACCUCCCGUCUCUAGGCCUGGCUCUCAAUCCACUGAGCCACCCAGCUGCCCCCUAGAAACUUAUUGUUAAACUUAAUGUUAUAGCAAAGGAAUUUUUCUCUGUGAAAAGGAGUGGUCUUCUGAACAGAUCAGUACCAGGUAAAAGGAUGGGCACAUUUCCUCUGCUUUGUUUGGGUGGCCUAAACUGAUGAGACAUUAGAGGUUAUUCUACUGUCUCCAUUACUGGCUGUGUCAGUCCUAAUUUAGGAUUUGAACAUUUCAAGAGAUCCUGGUUUUCAUGAUGAAGAAUAAAAUGAAGGCCUUAGGAUGUCGGGAAAGAGUGCGGGGUUUGGCGUUGGAGGACUUGGGUUCUCCGAACUGUUAUCAGCAGGUUUUGGGAAAAAUUACCUAACCGUUUGGGUCUCAGUUGUCUCCCCUGAAAAAUGAAUGAGUUGAACUAGAUAUUCUUGAGGAGGUAUUCCAACUCUAAAUCUAUGUGUGAUCUCUCUCUUUUUAAAAAUCCCUUACUUUCCAUCUUAGUAAGAGAAGGGCAAGGAAUAGGAAGACAGGGUUAAGUUGACUUUCCCAGGGUCACACAGCUAGGAAAUGUCCUGCUAGCUGUCCCUAUGCACGAUCUUAUGAUUUCUUUCCUUAUCUGCCCUUAACAUGUCACAUGUAUGUCAAAACAUUUAAUAUCUAGGGCCACAACACUCUUGUUUGAGCUUUCAAUAGUCUUAUGAAGUAGUUGGGGCAAGGAAGAUUAUCUCUACUUGAUAGAGGGGGAACUGAGGCUCAGAGAGACUUGUCCUAUGAGGAAGCAGUUAACUAGUGAGGAAAAAGUGAGCAAGUAAUUUUCCGUUACAACAAACAUCAAGAGACUAUCUAAAUGGUUCUAAUGUGUUAGGAUUUGAUUGUAGAUAACAGCAGGCAAAAGAAAUAGACUGGAGGGCAGCUAGGUGGCAUGGUGGAUGGAAGGCUAGGUCUGGAGUCAGGAGAAUCUUUGUUCAAAUCUGAUCUCAGACACGUCUUAGCUGUGUGUCCCUGGGCAAGUCACUUAACUCUGCUUGCCUAAGCCCUUGCCCUUCUGUCUUAGAGUUGUUACUAAGAUAAAAUGUAAAAAGUAAAGAAAAGAAAAGACCACCCAGCCCACUGAGUUGACUUCAUGUUGUGAAUUUAUGACCAAACAUGGGUAAGACUCACAAAGGAUGAGCAGGCCAUUAUUGGGUUGUAAUCUACUCCAUUAGAGGAGAUACCAUAUUAGUUCGAUCCUAGAUGCACUGGAAUUUGGGAGUAUGGAACACUAAUUAUUAAUGGCUACAGAAGACAGCAGCAUGACUUGAAUUCUAUCAAUGCGUGAGAUAACUUCUUGUCAUUGACUUCCUUAUGAUGAAAGUCCAUUACUGUUAUUUCUGGGUCAAAGGGUAUGAGAAUUUUAGAUACUGUACUUUUGUGGCAUAGUUUCAAAUUGUUUCCCUGAAUAAUUGAACUAAUUCAUUGCUCCACCUGUCAUAUAGUCAGAUGCCAGUCUUCUCACAGCCCCUCCAACAUUGACCAUUUCUACUUUUUUAUCUUUGAUGGGGAUUAAGUGCCAUCUUAGGGUUUUCAGUUGCAUAUUUCUUAUUAGUGAUUCAGAAAUUUUUUUUGUUUCCAUUGAUAGUUUGCCUUUCUUUUUAAUAUUAAGUUUAUUUGACUAAUUAAUUUAGAAAAAUUUCCAUGGUUACAUGAAUCAUGUUCUUUCCCUCUCCUCUUCUCACUCCCUUCCCAUAGCCAACGAGCAAUUCCACUGGGUUUUACAUGAAGUCAUUGAUCAAGACCUAUUUCCAAAAUAUUAAUAUUUGCACUAGGGUGAUUGUUUAGAAUCUAUAUCCCCAAUCAUGUCCCCAUCAACCCAUGUGAUCAAACAGUUUGUGUGUGUGUGUGUGUGUGUGUGUGUGUGUGUGUGUGUUUCUUCUCCCACAGUUCUUUCUCUGGAUGUGGAUAGUGUUCUUUCUCGUAAAUCCCUCCAAGUUGUUUGGAUCAAUGCAUUGCCACUAAUGGAGAAGCCCAUUAUAUUUGAUUGUGCCACAGUAUAUCAGUCUCUGUGUACAAUGUUUUCCUGGUUCUGCUCCUUUCGCUCUGCAUCACUUCCUGGAGGUUGUUCCAGUCUCCAUGGAAUUCCUCCACUUUAUUAUUCCUUUUAGCACAAUAGUAUUCCAUCACCAACAUAUACCACAAUUUGCUCAGCCAUUCCCCAAUCAAAGGGCAUCCCCUCAUUUUCCAAUUUUUGGCCACCACGAAGAGCGCAGCUAUGAAUAUUCUUCUACAAGUCUUUUUCCUUAUUAUCUCUUUGGGGCACAAACCCAGCAGUGCUAUGACUGGAUCAAAGGGCAGGCAGUUUUUUAAAGCCUUUUGGGCUAAAUUGCCUUCUAGAUGCUUUUCGUCUUUUGAAAACAGUUGGUAUUCUUCAACCAUUUGUUUAUUUUUGGGGGAAUGAGUUUUAAUCAUAUAUUUAUAUCACUUCCAUGUUAGCAUGAAUAUCAAUUUGAUAGCUCAGAGACUAAAAAAUAUUUUGGUGAUUAUUGAACAUUAGCUUAUUAAGUUAAAUUAUUUCUGAUUUUUUCCUUGUGUCUAGUCUAUGCCACUGAUUGAUUUCUUAGAAUCUCUAACCAGUACCAAACAGUUUGGAUGAUUAUUGUUGUGUGAUACAGUUUGAGGUCCAGAAGUGCCAUUCCUUCUUCAUUCCUAUUUCAUUGUUUCUCUUGAAAUUCUUAGCUUUUUGUUGCUAUGUUUAAUUUUGCUAUCAUUUUGUCUAGCUGUAUAAAAUAAUCCUUUAAUAGUUUGGUAUAGUAGUAAAUCCACAAAUUAAUUUUAGUAGUCUUAUUAAUUAAAAUUUAUUGGAUUGGUUCAACCAUGAACUUAUUUGUCUUUAUCUCUUUAAAGAGUGAUUUAUCAUUAUAAAUAUGUAUAUAAUAUAUAAACAUAUAUUUGUCUGUAUGUUAGUUAGUUUGUUCCCAGAUAUUUUAUGCAGAUUGUGAUUUUGAAUAGAAUUUCCUUCUAUCUCUACCUGUAAUGUACAGAAAGGAUAAGAAUUUUUAUCAAUUUAUUUUAUAUCCUGCUACUUUAUUAAAAUAAUUUAUUGUCUUGA